GGAUGGUCCAAGUACAAUGGUAUUUACAAGUAAUUGAUCGCAGCCAGUUACAAAUUUCUUUGUUCCUUUUCCACUCCCAUUCCUUUACUUGACUAUCCUUAA
rnacentral:Y_RNA from 1 species